GUAAGGAAUAUUGGUCAAUGGGCGCAAGCCUGAACCAGCCAUGCCGCGUGCAGGAAGACGGCCCUCCGGGUUGUAAACUGCUUUUAUUCGGGAAUAAACCUUUCUACGUGUAGGAAGCUGAAUGUACCGAAGGAAUAAGGAUCGGCUAACUCCGUGCCAGCAGCCGCGGUAAUACGGAGGAUCCAAGCGUUAUCCGGAUUUAUUGGGUUUAAAGGGUGCGUAGGCGGCCUGUUAAGUCAGGGGUGAAAGACGGUAGCUCAACUAUCGCAGUGCCCUUGAUACUGACGGGCUUGAAUAGACUAGAGGUAGGCGGAAUGUGACAAGUAGCGGUGAAAUGCAUAGAUAUGUCACAGAACACCGAUUGCGAAGGCAGCUUACUAUGGUCUGAUUGACGCUGAGGCACGAAAGCGUGGGGAUCAAACAGGAUUAGAUACCCCAGUAGUCC
rnacentral:rRNA from 1 species